UACGUAGGGUGCAAGCGUUGUCCGGAAUUAUUGGGCGUAAAGAGCUCGUAGGCGGUCUGUCGCGUCGGCUGUGAAAACUCGGGGCUCAACCCCGAGCCUGCAGUCGAUACGGGCAGACUAGAGUGCUGUAGGGGAGACUGGAAUUCCUGGUGUAGCGGUGAAAUGCGCAGAUAUCAGGAGGAACACCGGUGGCGAAGGCGGGUCUCUGGGCAACACGUGACGCUGAGGAGCGAAAGCGUGGGGAGCGAACAGG
rnacentral:rRNA from 1 species